AGGUUAAUUCUCUUCUCCUCCUGUUCUUCCUCAGAGCUGUGGGGAGAGCACACACAUGCAGCUGCUCUAACACCCUUGCAGCACUGCCCAUGGCCCAGCUCUUAGCCUUUCCUUCCUGACCUCACCAGCACCCGUCAGCUCAGCAGAGGCAAGGUGACCUGAACAGACCAGGAGAAUGGCAACUGAGACUUCAUCUGUGCACAGGACUCAAAUAAAGCAGCAGCAGGAGUUAAGGCUGUGGACCGCAGUGCUGUAUCUUCUACCUGGUUAUGUCUCUGAGCCUGAGCAGCCAGGCUCCACAGAGCUUACACUGAUCUGCAAUACUGCUAAGGGACUGGGAGACAACAAAUUGAUUUGCAACUGAGUGCAAGCCACUUAUUUUGACUCUAGAUGGUGGUCAUGUGUUUUGUUUGAAAAAUGUAAGAACCUAAGAAUGACCCAGAUGAUGAGCAUCUCUAUUUUUUGCUUUGUCAUUGUUUCUCAUUCUGUUUUGUUUUGGUUUAGUUUCGGUAAAUGUUGUCAUGAGAAUAUGGCAGUAGCAUGGUCUUACUCAUUUCCAUUUUGUGGAUGAUAUUCAUCUACACUCUUUGCUUCCAGCAGAAAGAAUAUAUUAAUUAUUCAGAAUGGCAAGAAUUGAGCGUUCAAAUGCCUCUGGUGAAUGUAUGAAUUAUAGAUUGAUCUGGCUAUAUGCAUGUUUUGUUCUUAUGAGAUGGGCUUUUAAGACUGUCUCUUAGUGGACUGUUAGUCAAUAUGAACCUGAUGCAUGCCAGUAAUAAACUAAUAGUGCAGGU
ensembl:lncRNA